rnacentral:rRNA from 1 species
GAUGAACGCUGGCGGCGUGCCUAACACAUGCAAGUCGAGCGAACAGAUGAGGAGCUUGCGCCUCUGACGUUAGCGGCGGACGGGUGAGUAACACGUGGAUAACCUACCUAUAAGACUGGGAUAACAUCGGGAAACCGGAUCUAAUACCGGAUAAUAUAUUGAACCGCAUGGUGCAAUAGUGAAAGACGGUUUUGCUGUCACUUAUAGAUGGAUAAGCGCCACAUUAGCUAGUAGGUAAGGUAAGGGCUUACCAAGGCAACGAUGCAUAGACGACCCGAACGCGUGGAACGCUAGCCUGGAAGUGAGACAGGUCCGACACUCCGGCGGUAAGCAGCAGUAGGGAAUCUUACGGGAUGGGGGAAAGGCUGACAGUGCAAAACCGCGUGAGGCCUGAAGGUGUUAUGAUGGUAAAACUCUGUUAUUCGUGAAGAACUAAUGUGUAAGUAACUAUGCUCAUAUUGACGGUACCGAGUCAGAAAGCCACGGCUAACUACGUG